AUUGAACGCUGGCGGCAUGCCUUACACAUGCAAGUCGAACGGCAGCACGGGAGCAAUCCUGGUGGCGAGUGGCGAACGGGUGAGUAAUAUAUCGGAACGUGCCCAGUCGUGGGGGAUAACGCAGCGAAAGCUGUGCUAAUACCGCAUACGAUCUACGGAUGAAAGCGGGGGAUCGCAAGACCUCGCGCGAUUGGAGCGGCCGAUGUCUGAUUAGCUAGUUGGCGGGGUAAGAGCCCACCAAGGCGACGAUCAGUAGCUGGUCUGAGAGGACGACCGGCCACACUGGGACUGAGACACGGCCCAGACUCCUACGGGAGGCAGCAGUGGGGAAUUUUGGACAAUGGGCGCAAGCCUGAUCCAGCCAUGCCGCGUGCGGGAAGAAGGCCUUCGGGUUGUAAACCGCCUUUGGCAGGAACGAAACGGCGCAAGCCAAUACCUUGCGCUAAUGACGGUACCUGCAGAAUAAGCACCGGCUAACUACGUGCCAGCCGCCGCCGUAA
rnacentral:rRNA from 1 species